GCUGCUGGAGGGCACGGGUGUGAGCGGCGGCGGAUCUGUGGCGUGUCUGGAGAAGCUGCUCACAACAGAGAAGGGCGGAUCUGCAGCGUGGCUCAAGCGGCGGCAGUGAGAAGGGACAGCUCGCCUCCUACUUCUGAACUGUCAGACUCCUAAGGCUCAUGGUUGGAAUAAGAGGUUAGAGGAACUGAAUUUAAUUUGAGCAGUGCUAUGUACAAUUUCAGUACAACGUGGUUGCAGGCUGUGUAUGGCCGUGUAGUCUUGAUUGACGUCAGUUAGGCAUGGUGCCAUAUGAAUUAGUGUGAAACUUGAUGUCUGAAACAUAUAAUAUAAUCUAAUUAAGCGUGAUAUGAAUUUGUAGUUUUAACUGCAAUUUGAUUGGCAGUGAAUCAAUCUAGGCCGUGAAGUGUUGGUUAAUUUUUUGACGGCAGGUAGGCAUGGUGUGAAAUGAAUUAGUGUGAAAAGAUUGAUGCUUGAAACAUUUAAUAUAAUCUAAUUAAGCUUGAUAUACUAGUUUGAAUUGCAAUUUGAUGGCCAGUGAAUCAAUUAAGGCUGUACAGUACGAAUUGAUUUUUUACGACAGUUAGGCGUAGUGUGAUACUGUGAUAUGAAUUACUGUGAAAGCUUGAUGUUUGAAACAUUUAAUAUAGUGUAAUUAAGAUGUACAUGAGUAGCAGUUUGGACUGCAAUUUGAUGGUCAGUGAAUUGAUUUGGAUGGCACAAUCAUUUGUAAUCCUUUCAGGUUGAGGAUUGGUGCCGCUAGAUUGAUGCAUGCUAAUGUCCUAGGUUCCUCCCAUGUAUGCGCAAACAGAUUAUUGCCAUAGCAUGAUUAUUAUCCUUCCAAACUCCUAUUCUUAGUUCUCCUCUUGUCAUAUACCCGUCGAGAUUUCGCCAGCGUUAAGCGGGCAUGUUUUUCGUCGGCUCAAACUGCGGUACAAACAAUCACUUGUUCAGGUAAACAACUCCUUAAGGGGUUAUGCCAGGCUCAAAAAAAAGGUAAGCAAUUCCUAUUCUUUGUUGCAUAGGAAGCAAAUGUUCAGUCCCUUCCCACAUGUAGAUGCUGAUAUUUUCAAUCUACUAAGUGAUAACCAUCCAAGUUACUGACUACAUGUCAGAAGAUAAUAAUUGAAUAUAUGUUGUCCCUGAGUUCUAGUAAUAAGUCUAAAUGGUGAAAAACAUAGGAACAGAUAUGUGAAUAUCCAAGAGUUAACAAGAUAAUAACCGUCAUACUGUGUACAAAAUUUCAGCUCAAAACCUUGUAUUUCUUACAACUCGCGCGAGAAUUUUAUCCUUGAGCUUCUUUUGAUAGUAUGCAUGGAGGCAAGCCUCUUAGCUUUUUUUCCAAGUUAAAUGGUGGAAUUAACUUGGUUAUCUUUGGAUUUCUGUUGAAACUAGUGUGCUUUCUGCCCCCAUUGCGCUCUUAAUUUCUUUUGUGAUAAUGCUGGGCCAAGGCCUCCGGCUAAACUAGUCGGCUAAAACUCUAAAAGUGUUGUGGGGUAGAGCUCUGCGUAAGCAUCCGUGGGUUGUGGCAUAUCUUAUUAAGCGGCACAUUCCUAGCAAUAUUUGUGUGAUGCAGAUAAGGACCUCAGACAUAAAUUUGGGGAAAUUUUAAUUGGGGUUAUGAUGAUUCUUUAUAGUUCUAUUGGCAAAAGAGUACAUUUUCAAAAAGUAUUGCUUCUUGGAUGUACUCCUAAACUUGUGCUGACUCAGUUUUGUGUCUCGGCAGUGCACCGAGAGGUCCCAAACGUCCUAGAGAGCAUGGAAUGAACACACCACCGCGCGGAAGUGAGCAUCCCCAGACAGAAAAUGUAGGGGACUGAAGGGCGAGGAGUAAGUCAAGUUUUCACCUUUUUUUUUGAGACAGACGGUUGGCUAUCUUUCACUGCUGCCAUCUCCUGUUGGUGCUCCCACAGGCAAAGGCAGGGUAUCUAGUAAGGGGGUGAGGGUUGAAGUGAAAGGGGAGACCGGUGAUUGAAGGAAAUAUGCCCUAGAGGCAAUAAUAAAGUUAUUAUUUAUUUCCUCAUAUCAUGAUAAAUGUUUAUUAUUCAUGCUAGAAUUGUAUUAACCGGAAACAUGAUACAUGUGUGAAUACAUAGACAAACAUAUAGUCACUAGUAUGCCUCUACUUGACUAGCUCAUUAAUCAAAGAUGGUUAUGUUUCCUAACCAUAGACAUGUGUUGUCAUU
rnacentral:lncRNA from 1 species